GGCCGGCUAGCUCAGUUGGUUAGAGCGUCGUGCUAAUAUACUCUACGUUGCAACGCGAAGGUCUUGGGUUCGAUCCCCACGUUGGCCA